UCCAGACUCCUACGGGAGGCAGCAGUGGGGAAUAUUGCACAAUGGGGGGAACCCUGAUGCAGCGACGCCGCGUGGGUGAAGGAGCACCUCGGUGCGUAAAGCCCUAUCGGCAGGGAAGAAACAGACGGUACCUGACUAAGAAGCCCCGGCUAACUACGUGCCAGCAGCCGCGGUAAUACGUAGGGGGCAAGCGUUAUCCGGAUUCACUGGGUGUAAAGGGAGCGUAGACGGCGACGCAAGUCUGGAGUGAAAGCCCGGGGCCCAACCCCGGGACUGCUCUGGAAACUGCGUCGCUGGAGUACGGGAGGGGCAGGCGGAAUUCCUGGUGUAGCGGUGAAAUGCGUAGAUAUCACGCAGAACCCCGAUUGCGAAGGCAGCCUUCCGGCGCCCUACUGACGCUGAGGCACGAAAGUGCGGGGAUCGAACAGGAUUAGAUACCCCAGUAACA
rnacentral:rRNA from 1 species